UUGUUUGAUGUUUAUUUUUGUUUUUGUAUGUUUUUGCUCUUUAUUUUCCUUAUAUAAUAUUUAGUAUUCACUAAUUUUUUCUUUUUCUUUGUUGCUAAUUCUUUAACUUCAAUUUAGGUGUUUUAUGACCCUAAGAAAUUUGGACUUUCUUGUCGCUUUUGAUCCAAAAAUUGAAAGGACUGUUCAUAAUAGACUUCGAGAAC
rnacentral:lncRNA from 1 species